rnacentral:rRNA from 1 species
AGUGAACGCUGGCGGUAUGCCUAACACAUGCAAGUCGAACGGCAGCACAGUAAGAGCUUGCUCUUACGGGUGGCGAGUGGCGGACGGGUGCGGAAUACAUCGGAAUCUACUUUUUCGUGGGGGAUAACGUAGGGAAACUUACGCUAAUACCGCAUACGACCUACGGGUGAAAGCAGGGGAUCUUCGGACCUUGCGCGAUUGAAUGAGCCGAUGUCGGAUUAGCUAGUUGGCGGGGUAAAGGCGCACCAAGGCGACGAUCCGUAGCUGGUCUGAGAGGAUGAUCAGCCACACUGGAACUGAGACACGGCCCAGACUCCUACGGGAGGCAGCAGUGGGGAAUAUUGGACAAUGGGCGAAAGCCUGAUCCAGCCAUACCGCGUGGGUGAAGAAGGCCUUCGGGUUGUAAAGCCCUUUUGUUGGGAAAGAAAAGCAGCAGGUUAAUACCCCGCUGUUAUGACGGUACCCAAAGAAUAAGCACCGGCUAACUUCGUG